rnacentral:rRNA from 1 species
UUCGGGUCUAGCGGCGGACGGGUGAGUAACGCGUGGGAACGUGCCCUUCUCUACGGAAUAGUCCCGGGAAACUGGGUUUAAUACCGUAUACGCCCUUCGGGGGAAAGAUUUAUCGGAGAAGGAUCGGCCCGCGUUAGAUUAGGUAGUUGGUGGGGUAAUGGCCUACCAAGCCUACGAUCUAUAGCUGGUUUGAGAGGAUGAUCAGCCACACUGGGACUGAGACACGGCCCAGACUCCUACGGGAGGCAGCAGUGGGGAAUCUUAGACAAUGGGGGCAACCCUGAUCUAGCCAUGCCGCGUGAGUGAUGAAGGCCUUAGGGUCGUAAAGCUCUUUCGCUGGGGAAGAUAAUGACUGUACCCAGUAAAGAAACCCCGGCUAACUCCGUGCCAGCAGCCGCGGUAAUACGGAGGGGGUUAGCGUUGUUCGGAAUUACUGGGCGUAAAGCGCGCGUAGGCGGAUUGGAAAGUUGGGGGUGAAAUCCCGGGGCUCAACCUCGGAACUGCCUCCAAAACUCCCAGUCUUGAGUUCGAGAGAGGUGAGUGGAACUCCGAGUGUAGAGGUGAAAUUCGUAGAUAUUCGGAAGAACACCAGUGGCGAAGGCGGCUCACUGGCUCGAUACUGACGCUGAGGUGCGAAAGUGUGGGGAGCAAACAGGAUUAGAUACCCUGGUAGUCCACACCGUAAACGAUGAAUGCCAGUCGUCGGCAAGCAUGCUUGUCGGUGACACACCUAACGGAUUAAGCAUUCCGCCUGGGGAGUACGGUCGCAAGAUUAAAACUCAAAGGAAUUGACGGGGCCCGCACAAGCGUGAGCA